rnacentral:rRNA from 1 species
UACAGAGGGUGCAAGCGUUAAUCGGAAUUACUGGGCGUAAAGCGUGCGUAGACGGUUACAUAAGUCGGGUGUGAAAGCCCCGGGCUCAACCUGGGAAUUGCAUUCGAGACUGCGUAGCUAGGGUGCGGAAGAGGGAAGCGGAAUUUCCGGUGUAGCGGUGAAAUGCGUAGAUAUCGUGAGGAACACCAGAGGCGAAGGCGGCUACCUGGACAAUUGCUGACGCUCAGGCACGAAAGCGUGGGGAGCAAAAGGG